CACAUGCAAGUCGAGGGGCAGCAUGAACUUAGCUUGCUAAGUUUGAUGGCGACCGGCGCACGGGUGAGUAACACGUAUCCAACCUGCCGAUGACUCGGGGAUAGCCUUUCGAAAGAAAGAUUAAUACCCGAUGGCAUAGUUCUUCCGCAUGGUGGAACUAUUAAAGAAUUUCGGUCAUCGAUGGGGAUACGUUCCAUUAGGUUGUUGGCGGGGUAACGGCCCACCAAGCCUUCGAUGGAUAGGGGUUCUGAGAGGAAGGUCCCCCACAUUGGAACUGAGACACGGUCCAAACUCCUACGGGAGGCAGCAGUGAGGAAUAUUGGUCAAUGGACGAGAGUCUGAACCAGCCAAGUAGCGUGAAGGAUGACUGCCCUAUGGGUUGUAAACUUCUUUUAUACGGGAAUAAAGUGAGGCACGUGUGCCUUUUUGUAUGUACCGUAUGAAUAAGGAUCGGCUAACUCCGUGCCAGCAGCCGCGGUAAUACGGAGGAUCCGAGCGUUAUCCGGAUUUAUUGGGUUUAAAGGGAGCGUAGGCGGACGCUUAAGUCAGUUGUGAAAGUUUGCGGCUCAACCGUAAAAUUGCAGUUGAUACUGGGUGUCUUGAGUACAGUAGAGGCAGGCGGAAUUCGUGGUGUAGCGGUGAAAUGCUUAGAUAUCACGAAGAACUCCGAUUGCGAAGGCAGCUUGCUGGACUGUAACUGACGCUGAUGCUCGAAAGUGUGGGUAUCAAACAGGAUUAGAUACCCUGGUAGUCCACACAGUAAACGAUGAAUACUCGCUGUUUGCGAUAUACAGUAAGCGGCCAAGCGAAAGCGUUAAGUAUUCCACCUGGGGAGUACGCCGGCAACGGUGAAACUC
rnacentral:rRNA from 1 species